rnacentral:lncRNA from 1 species
AUGGAUGCAGUCCAGGCCCCGCGUUGGGUGCCCUGGGCAGCGUGGCGAGGCUGCCCUGCUGGUCCAAUCGGGAGCGCGUCCAGACCUUCGGGCUUGGCUAUCUUUAAAAUACCGAGCCGGCCCCCACCAAGCACCUGGCCGCGCGCUCUGCUCUCCCGCUGCGGGGCGGGGACCUUCUGCGAUUGCCGGAUCGAGAACUGGGUGCUCGGGGCGCACCCCACCAGUACGGCGCCGGCCGGGACAACAAAGGGAAACACGGACAGAGGAAGUUUCGCGGUGCGGGAGAGUCGGGGGCCCGAGGGAUGCUGCGUCCUGAGCGACCAACCCGCCUGGAGAAAGCUCUUUGACGCCCUUUGCCGCAUGCCAGCCCGGCCGGAAAACAGGACUCAGCAGACCCCUCCUCCCUGCGCCUCUUCUGCGCAGAAACACACGCUCCUGUCUUAUCCAAGGCUUCCAGAACUUCUGCAGCGGGAGACCCCCAGUCCUACCUCAUG